AAAAAGGAACCCAGAAAGGAAGUAGCUUACAAUGCCUUGAGAACACACACCACACAAUAAGUAACCCAUCUGAACACUCUCUCAUCAUUUCUAUUUAGACCUCCCAUUUCUCUUUGAUUUCAAUCACUGGUGUGUCUCCUGCCUCUGUUUUUACUCAAUAGGGGAAAAAAGUCGCAGUUAGCUCAUCUGUCAAUCAAAGCACAUAAGUUGUCUGUUACGCGCCAUACACCUCCACAAGCUCGCGGCUCAAUUAUUAACGGGCAGGUACUAAGGCAAACUGCUGACGGGACGCCCCCUCUUGACAGCUCAUUUGAAAGACAAUGGCCCCAUGCCCCCUCCACCCCCCACUUAACUUGUCAAAGCAGUGAAAGCACCUUGAAUCUGCCUGGCGUGACGUCAAUUACCAAGCCAUUAGAGAGAAGGAUAUCACCAUUUAAGAGAGAGAUUUAUGAAAUCGCCGGCCCAGAGUUUGCUUCUUUCUCAGCAAGUUUUAUAAACACGAGCCGGUAUUACUGUGUGUUGAUAUAAAGGAGGGACGGGGGGCAUUUCCCCCCCUAACUCUUCAAAUGAUUCAUAUAAUAAUACGUAUUAGAAAGAAAAUUAGCUAAGGUAAAAUGUUGGUCUACAUCCGAUUAAAAAAUACAUAUAAAAAUGUAACUCUUUAAAUUAUGUGUGGAAAUAAAUGAUUGAUUGUUAUGCAUAUAAAUGAAUUCAAUUUGAACUUAUUUGUAAAAUAAUUCUGCGGUACAAGCCUGUUGAUAAGUUUAAUUGUAUUGUCAGUUACUUCGUCGUAUACAGUGAAAUUAAAUUUGUAAUGUAAAAUAUUGUUUUGUUUAUUAUUAUUAUUAUUAUUAUUAUUAUAAAAAUGAAAAGGGUCAAGUUUGUUGAAUUAUGUACAUUUUUGUACCACUGUGUACAUUUUCAUACACAGCUCUUACUUUGUUAAAAAGGAAGUUUAUUAUUUUAUUUGUAUUGCACUUCAAACCAUAAAAGUUCAUUUUCAAAGCAACUGUGAUAGCAGAUAAUAAAAUAUGAAUUAAUAAAAAUGUCAUAAAAAUGUACCAAAGAGCACUUUAAACUUCAGCUAACUGUAUUUAUAUAAACUUAAUGUCAUCCCAUGUCUGAAACCCCGUUAAAUUAUUCUUUACAGUAACAUUCUGGCAACUACAGGUGCCAGUGCUGAACCAUAAAUUCAACAAAGCAUUCAACAAAGAUCAGAAAUGAGCUGCCAAUUUUUAAUGUGCAAAUCUUAGUUUUUUAAAUUACGUUCUAAAGUUGUCAUGUAAGACUUCCGGGAAUCCUGAGUGACAGCUGAUACAUUCUGACAGAAGAGUGUGACUCUUUUGACUGCCGUGUGAUUAAAGAUCACUCACACGCGGUUGCAAGUGUCAUUUAUGCUUUGUGAUACUGAAAAAAAACCCAUCCAGAUUUAUAAAUAUAAAAGAGAGUAGAAUCAAAGCACUAAUGUGUUAAAAAGUUAUCACAGUUACACGUCAUUUGUCAUAAUACAACAAAGAAAACGACGACUUUCUACGACUGCAGCAACUUUCUUUGCAGUACUUUCCUACGACGGCAUAUCUGCUUUACAUCAUGAUGGAAGAUACAAAUAACUGGUAUGAUCAACGGUGUCCCUCAAGGGCGUGAUCGCGAAACAAACCGUCACGUCACAAUAACGAACCACCCCUGAGCUCUCCGUCUGAACGUCUCCAUUCCGCUCUUUUAGAGCUCAGUUGUCUGCGGUGGAGUUUCUUUCCCUUCUUUUGAGAAGCGACGACGCAGGCAGAUCUGUCAUUCCUCUUUUCUUCAAUGCUGCCACACACCUUCCUCCUCUCAGAUAUGCUCAAUAAUUAACCAGGCAGGUAGGGAGUCGUCGAGAUGAAGCGCAGGUGGCCUAGGGUAGACGGCUUUGAAGAAGGGUAGGCAUGAUUGUUGAUUUUUGAUUGAGGUGGGAAUGAUGGUUUGACAGAGCCGUCAUUGGAAAGAUCAACGUGGGUGUUAUUACGCCUUAACGUGGGCCUCACAUUAGCAGAUAUAGGCUUUGUUCAGACAGGCAGCAAAAAUCUGUUUCUUGGCAUAUCUGAAUCCGUUUCGUUUUUGGUAGUUUGGGCCAGUGGUUCCCAACCUGGCAAAAGUGAAACCUGAUACUCAUUUCAGUUCUUGGAGUCUCUACUAAUGAGCUGAGGAAUAGAUUCAGGUGAGUUUGAUUAUGGACUCAUAGGCUACGUUCCAGUUUGAAGGGCUUGUACUCAUGCCCUAAUCCAGGGGUGUCAAACUCAGUUUCCAGAGAGCUGCAUCCCUUCAGAGUUUAGUUCCAAUACUGCUUCAACACACAUGCCAGGCGGUUUUCAAAUAAGCCUAAAUGACUUGAUUAGCUGGAUCAGGUGUGUUUAAUUAACCUAGGAACCUAGGUGUGCUGUUUGACACACUCCGUCAGUUUAAACCCCAUUUGGAAUGCACUUCUGUGUCAUCUUGCAGAGCCAGUUAAGGUUUAACAAACUAAACAUGAGCAAAGAAUCACAGUAGCAACAAGUCCAUCAGUAGUCCCCUUUUUUUCCACUUUGCACUUUGGUUUUGAAUGACUCUUCAAUGUUGCGACCAUAAGUCUAUUCGUACCAAAGUGACCUACGGAGGUGGAUUUAUCCAGUUUGGAGUGUCCAGGACCAGGGCUGGGAACUACUGGUAACAAAGACACACGUGAUAUGUGUACCUAGAAAGCGUGCCACACUAGUCCUCAAAAGUGAUAUACAUUUUCAAGUUCAAGUGUUCGUUUUUAAAUAAGUUUGGCUUUAAAUUUUAUGUCAUGCUGACAGCUGGGACUGACAGCUUCUCUUCAUUAAGAGACUGGAAUUGCAUUUACCUUAUUUUAAUGCAAGCCUCUUAUACGGCAAUCAGUAGACAAAAAGGUGGAGAAGUUAGGCUCAUUUAAAAAGGGUCAAGGGCGUCUGCAGGAGCGUGGGCAGAAUGUGACUACUGCGCAGACCCAAAGCAGCUUAAUACCCAAGCCCUAUUGGGACAAUGGCAGCUUGACUUUUCUUUAAUGGAAGUUCCGUCGUCCAUCUUUUUUUUGCAGUCUAUGGUACCCAGGCUCAGUGGAAAAAUGUGCCUCAACCAACAUUUCUGCAACUCAAAAAAACAAAAUGAGCACUAGAGGCAGUAAAACACUUGGACGGACAUUAGCCGAGCAAUAACUAGAGAUGCUAGAUAAAAAACAAAAGAGGAAAAUGUCUGCAGAACAAUAAAGGCUUAUUAAGAAGUACUGUAGUUCCUGUGCAAAUAUCAGUUCUAGCACUGAAGAGAAGUAAAAGAGCGGGAAGGACUGCAAUCAGACAGAGGUUGCUUUGUUUCUUCUGGAUAGUUGAGUAACAUUGGUUCUGUUUGUUUAACAGAACUAUAGUAAGUAUGUGUGGGGCGGAGCUAUUCAAAAUAGGGUUGUUUUUGCUUUGGUGAUUUCGAAUAUAAAUCACUUACCUUGCUGUCAAUGUCAUACAUUGUCGCAUAACACAAUAAUUUUGCUCGAUAACAAAAGGGAUUAAAACCAUAUUAUUAAGAUUAAAAUAGCACGGCUGCUACUAUUAUUAUCCCAACUGCACAUUUUUAGUGAGUUGGGAUAUCCAGAAUAAGUGGCUUGUAAUCACUUGAUUGGCUCCCAGAAUGGUCAAAAAUUCUGUUUAUCUUCAUUGACAGUUACUCAUGUUUGUUUCUUGGCAUCUUGCUUAUGAUUACAAGACUACAAUAACUAAUGGUGUAGAUACAGCAGAAACAGUCUGCACUUCACCAACAGAUGCGAUUUUAUAUACAGAGCGUCGUAAAGUUUGGAUCUGAAAUCCAAAUGGGAUUUGUGUGAACAAAGCCUAAAUCAAGCCUAAAAAUCUUUUCACAAAAAACGAUUUUGCUUUAAAAUCUCGAUCUCUCGGCAUGGUGCUUUUUGACGAGAGUUCUGUCACGCUGUCAGUGAAGACAAGCUCUUUCAGAUUUGCUGGGGUACCCGGCUAAACAUUAACACUACUCCUGCCCCUUUAGGCCGGAGGACACCCUUACCCAGGUGGAGGGACAAUAACGGGGAGCACUCCUCAUUGCCCUGCAUUUAUUUGUACCAUCAGCAGAUUCUUUUCUUUCUUUGACAUGUUUAUGGCCGUGUUUUUCAGCCCUCGCUCACACAAUUCGUUCUUUUCUGUCUUUUCUUACCCAACGUGUCUCUCAUCUGCACAUUUUUGGCAUUCCCCGUCAUGAGUUUCUCAGGGAGUGUUCUAGAAGAGGGGAAAACAAGCGCGGCUUUAAAGUUUUCCCGUAAUGGCCGAGCGGGCCGAGGGGAAGCGUUCUCCCGGAGGGACGGAAAGACAGGAAGGAGCUCUGGCAGAGGCUCUGGGUCAGAGGACAGCAGGGAAACGGUCAGGACAUCAUGGUUAAUGCAAGAACAGAAGACUAACCUUUGGACUGUGUGAAAAUACACAUGCUAUACACAAGAGAAUAUUGUGGUGUCACAGUGAAGGGACUCUAGGGGCCCAAGCUGGAUCCUGGAGGGGAAAACGAAUGCGACUUCAACCCAAAGUGGAACAGUUUUGUCCCAGCUCAGGGGACUGAAUGCUUUGUGCUGAGUGGACAGAGAGAAGAUCCGGCUCCACAUUGCCUCUGUUUUAGGAAGUCCGGCCAUUCUGAGGAGGAUUAUGUGGACCGUCCCCCUACAGUAAACCCCCUCUAUCCAUUACACCUCUGUUACUGUCUGUCUGUGUCGGACCACAAAUACAGCAUAUCUUUCCAGGUUAAUUGUAAAUGCAGUGAGUACAAUCAACCAUCGCUCAUUCAGUCUAUUGUUUCCCAUCACGUUUAAUGACGCAUAUACACUGAUGUGGAUAGAGAGUAACCUUGCUCUCAUAUAUCCGGAGAGACAUCAAUUUCUAGGUAAUUUUUGUCUAAACAGUUCAGCAAAAGGAAGCAUUUCUCAUCCACACACAUGGCAGGAAAUAGUACUCUUUUUUUUUUUGUAUAUUGCGAUACUCUUAUUUCCUGUUUUUUUCUUUUCGCCCAAUAUCUCGUCGAAAUGAAAUAUUUAUUGAAUUCAAAAAAUUACAAAGCUGAUUCAGUUUGAAUCAUUUUUGACAAAGCAGCUUAAUAUCAGCUGUUCGUUUAUAAUUAUUCCAUUACGAUUUUCUUUUCUGUGCAUUGACCCUAUAUUUGAUCGUAAAUAAAAAAGUCACAUUUUUAUGCUUGUAAUUA